rnacentral:rRNA from 1 species
CGGUCCAAACUCCUACGGGAGGCAGCAGUGGGGAAUAUUGCACAAUGGGCGAAAGCCUGAUGCAGCAACGCCGCGUGCGUGAUGAAGGCCUUCGGGUCGUAAAACUCUGUCCUCACGGAAGAUAAUGCCGGUACUUGAGGAGGAAGCCCCGGCUAACUACGUGCCAGCAGCCGCGGUCAUACGUAGGGGGCUCGCGUUAUCCGGAUUUACUGGGCGUACAGGGUGCGUAGGCGGUCUUUCAAGUCAGGAGGGAAAGGCUACGGCUCAACCGUAGUAAGCUCUUGAAACUGGGAGACUUGAGUGCAGGAGAGGAGAGUGGAGUUCCUAGUGUAGCGGUGAAAUGCGUAGAUAUUAGGAGGAACACCAGUUGCGAAGGCGGCUCUCUGGACUGUAACUGACGCUGAGGCACGAAAGCGUGGGGAGCAAACAGGAUUAGAUACCCUGGUAGUCCACGCUGUAAACGAUGAGUACUAGGUGUCGGGGGUUACCCCC